ACUACCCUGUCAUACACACACACACACACACACACACACACACACACACACACACACACACACACAGUAUAGUUUUUAAAUUACUGGAACUUGAUCAAACAAGGUGUAAGGUUCCGUGAUGCAUCUACAAUAGACAACCACCCUGACACAACCACCCCAUCCCCACACAAACACAGAAGGUAAAGUUUUUAAAACACACAAAAGGUAAAGUUUUUAAAGUUCUGAAAGAGUGAAGGUUAACAGAUGGAAAAACAAAAGAUUUUUGCAUAAAUAGUCUUUCAAAAGACGACUAGAUAGAAGCCGUCUGAAGAGAGAGACAGAGAGUCAUGGAAAACGCCGAGCAAAAUACCUUUGUUCCAGAGAGCCCUUUUGCGUUUGGGUUUACAGAUGAUUAUUUUUCGGCGGAAAACUUGGAAGAAAUUCGGUGUAUUUUGAGCCAAAACUUACCACGCAGUUUUCAAAUCACCACCACAGACAUCCAUCCGAUUCCGCCGACUCCUGAGGCCUUAAGGUCGCCCGAUACAUCUGGGGUAAAUCCUUGGGUUGAAGACGGUGUAAACACGCCACCUCCUUCCCCGACCGCAGAAAUCUUGCCAUCCAGCCCGGGUUUAACUCAUCCGGACACAGACGCUGUGAGAGAGGGGACGACACUCAGAGUCUUCAGUCUACAUCCCCGGCAGCAGAAGCCGGGGUUUCAUCCAGUCCUCCCGGGGAAAGUCGAGCGAGUGAAGGACCUCGCAGAGAAAAAACGGCGAGGUCGAACAACGGACCUUCGAGACCAGUACCUCUGAUGAAUCGUCAUAGAGCCAGGCGCCGAGGACAAAACAUCGCAAGAGGACGGUGUCGUCAUCAUGAAGGGUGUAGAAGAAGCAGCGUGGAGAAGCAGGAACUGAUGCAGCAGAUGAUUGGUUUAAUAGGUGAAGUACACCAGAUUAUGAACCAAAUGCUGUCUUUGUGCAACAGGGGGAGAGUGUAAUUUUCUGUAUGUGUAAUUCAAGUGCAAUGUACCAGAAAGAUCAUUUUUCUAUGUAACCGGGUGUGACUUUUUUUUUUUUUUUUUAUCAUGGACAACCAACGUUUGUCAAACCGAAAUUUAUUGUGUGAAGAUAAUGAAUCAGAGGAAACACUAAUGUCAAUAAACAAAAUCUCCACCAGUUCUAAAGCUGUUACCUUCUUAGAUGCUAUCGAUAAUGCUAUUGUAUAGAGUCUUAAACCAAAUUGACAAAGUUAAUGAAUCAGAAGAAACACUGUCACCUCUCAGCCCAAACUCUGCUAGUUCUAACAUCGAUCAUCCCUUUCCUGAUAUCAAUAAUGCUACCACCAAUCUUAAUGUCAUAAACCAAUUUCAAGAGCUAAUGAGUCAAAUACCCCCCAGAUCCGAACCUUCUGAACCCUCGGUGUUAAGCGAUGUACAAAUUGAAACACAAAAUGAAUCAGAAACUGUUGAUUACUUUGACGCUUUAAACAAUGCUGUAAGGUUUUUAGAAAAUCAGACAGAUUUCCUGCAACACAUUGAGUCAGGGCACUCACAACAAAAUCAACAAUACGGUGGUAACAUUACUGAAAAUACAGCACAACAGGAAAAUUCAUCUCCGUCCAGGGUGGUGAGGCGUGAUAGAUUUAACAACAUUGAAAUUACUCAGCCUCUCAACAUCCUUAGAGAUCAAAGUAUUGCUAAUUAUGCUGCAUAUUAUUGCAGUGUGAUGAAUAUCUUAGAGGAUGUCAGUCGAAGAGCCUUCCAACAUGCUGGGCGACAAGACCUGGUGCAGCUUGAGUCUGCCUAAUGGUGCCUCUGUCAUUUUGAACGGCGAACCUCAUGAUCAAAACCAACUCCAGUCUUUCAUAGAACACAGUGUACAAUCCAACACGGUUGUUAACGUUGACAGUAAUCUGAUAUUGGUAGCUCAGGUCAUUAGAAACCGACGAGGUGGCGGUAAAAGAAUGUUGGCAAAAACAUACACUGAAGUGAAAAAUCUGCGGGGUCUGAAAAAGAGAACAAGGUACACUGCUGCUACAUACAACCUUUGCCGACGUCAACAGAACAUACAGAGAAAUUAAUAUUCUAUGAUUUUGAGACGUAUGUCGACUUGUCAGGCGUACACGUCCCUUUUUUGGUAUGUACAAAAAUGCUCGAAGGUAUAAGAUGGAACACUCAGGGUGCGGAUUGCACUGAACGCUUUAUCAUGCAUUUCAGGCAACCUUUGUACAGAAAAUCAAUCUUUAUUGCUCACAAUGCUAAAGGGUUUGACAGCUACAUUGUGAUCAAAACCAUGCUCGCUCUGAAAAUGAAGCCUAGUCUCACCAUGCAAGGCAGCAAAGUCAUUUGUUUCACACUGAUUACGACCACAAGUACAUUCUCUCAGCUUUCUCACCAUGCGUCUAUCGGCCAUGCCUAAAGCUUUAGGUUAUGCUGAUAAAACCAAGGGUUUUUUCCCCCAUGGGUUUAGCUCAGAGAAUCAUUUUUACUACAUAGGUCCCUUCCCUCAGCCUGAGGCUUACGGUGUCGGGCAAAUGACUAAAGAGGGAAAGACUGAAUUUGACACAUGGUAUGAGACGGUGCAUCACGGCAUGUUCAGUUUUGAAAAAGAAGCUAUCCGUUACUGUCAAAAUGAUGUGGAUAUUCUCUCAGAGGCUUGCUGCAUUUUCAGAAAAGGCUACAUUGAUGAAACCAGUGUAGACCCAUUCAGCUGCGUCACCAUUGCUUCAGCUUGCAUGAAAGUGUUUCGCACAAAUUUCCUGCCUCCCAAUACCCUGGCCGUUCCAUCAUCCGACAAUUAUCGCAGGCAAUUCAAAUUUCAAUUUUCAAACGCCAGCAGUCAGUGGUUAGAGUGGGUUGCGCGUACAGAGAACAUCUUUAUUCAACACGCUUUGAACAAGGGUGAAAAACAGAUAGGUUACUAUGUAGAUGGUUAUGCAGAGGUGCAAGGUGUGAAAUAUGCAUGGGAGUUUCUGGGUCGUUUUUACCAUGGUUGAAGAGUUGCAUGCGGUCUGUGAGGAGAAAUUACAGGUUUUACAGUCUGUCCAUGGCAUCACAGUGAUGGUCAUGAGAGAGCAUCGUUGGGUUGAGAUGAAAAAAAAACCCAUCAGGGGUUGAAAGAGUUUCUUGAGCAUUACAAAGCUCCUCAACCUCUCACCCCGCGAUGCUCUGUAUGGCAGUAGGACGAGUGCUGUGAGGCUGAGGUAUACAGUGGCGCUGGAUGAAACUGUACAGUAUGUAGAUGUGACAUCCUUGUAUCCCUACGUCAACUGCACAUUUCCUUACCCUCUAGGACGCCCUAACAUCAUCUACACAAAUUUCCAAGAGCCUCAAAACUACUUUGGGUUAAUCAGGGCCGUUGUCUACCCACCUCGGGGUUUGUUUUUCCCUGUUUUACCUUACAGAACAGCUGCUGGUAAACUGGUGUUCGCCCUGUGUUGUACAUGCGCCGAGCUUAAUUUUCAGGAUGGUUCAUGUACACACAACGAUGACGCCAGAGCGUUGACAGGUGUUUGGGUCACUCCUGAAUUUAACAAGGCCUUGGAGAUGGGGUACUGAUUAGGUAAGAUCACUGAGGUGUGGCACUUUUAUCAACAGAGCGAUUCUAUCUUUGUCAAGUACAUGCACACUUUUCUGAAGGGUAAACAGGAAGCUUCAGGUUACCCCCCUGAGGCUACCGAUCAGGAAAGUAGAGAAAAGUACAUUAAUGAUUACAUGACCAAUCAGGGUAUUUUGCUGGACGCUGACAAAAUUAAAUCAAACCUGGCUAAAAGACAAGUGUCUAAACUCUGCUUAAAUAGCUUUUUGGGUAAGUUUGCGCAGAGAAGUAGCCUGAAUCAGACCGCUCUAAUCAGUGACCCUGAAGAAUUUUUCAGUUACAUGUUUUCAGAAAAGUACAAAAUCAAAUACUUUUCAUUCCUCAAUGACACAACGGCUCUCAUUCAAUGGAGUCACGGUGAUCGCUAUAUCGCACCCCCAAACAAGGUCGAUAAUGUCUUCAUCGCAGCAUUCACCACAGCCUAUGGCCGUCUAAAAUUGUACAGCUAUUUGAAGCAAAUGCAAGAGCGGGUUCUCUACUACAACACAGACAGUUUGAUAUAUGUCACAAAAGAGGGAGAACCUCGACUCAAAUUGGGUAAUUACUUGGGGGAUUUGACAGACGAAUUGGGUGACGAUAGCAUACAGGACUUUGUGGCUGUGGGUCCUAAAAGUUAUGCCUAUCAGCCUACAAACAAACGAGUGGUGCUGCGUGUGAAAGGCAUUACUCAGACUCGCGAAUGUUGCGAACAGGUAAACUUUGAUAGCAUCAAAGAGCUGGUGGAGGGAUAUGUGCAAAACCUCACUGCAGAGGGUUUCAUUGAAACCCCUCAGCACAACAUUGUGCGUGAUAAAAAGUGUUUUCUUCUGAAAAACUCAUAAUUUCAAAAGAAGUUGCGAGUGGUGUUUGACGGUUGCUUCCCACAGGUCAAACCUUGCCUUUUGGAUAUUAAAAAAAAAAAAAAAAAAAAAAUGUCACACUUGGGUGUUGCAGAAGAAAUUGAUUUUGAUCCUAGAUUGCAACUACCUUUCUCAUGUCAGAUUGUGGGUCCGAGUGGUUGUGGAAAAACUUUUUUUGUAAAAAAUGUGUUGGAAAAUUGUCAAGAUGUUUUGUCUCGGAUACCUGAAAAUAUUGUAUGGAUUUAUACUUUGUUUCAACCCAUGUAUGCUGA